CAGCAGCCACGGGAAUACGAAGGGGGCUAGCGUUGUUCGGAUUUACUGGGCGUAAAGGGCGCGUAGGCGGACUGAUAAGUCAGGGGUGAAAUCCCAAGGCUCAACCUUGGAACUGCCUUUGAUACUGUUUGUCUUGAGUUCGAGAGAGGUAAGUGGAACUGCGAGUGUAGAGAUGAAAUUCGUAGAUAUUCGCAAGAACACCAGUGGCGAAGGCGGCUUACUGGCUCGAAACUGACGCUGAGGCGCGAAAGCGUGGGGAGCAAACAGGAUUAGAUACCCCAGUAGUCCCUGUCUCUUAUAC
rnacentral:rRNA from 1 species